rnacentral:rRNA from 1 species
UACGUAGGGGGCUAGCGUUGUCCGGAAUCAUUGGGCGUAAAGAGCUCGUAGGCGGUCUGUCGCGUCGGCUGUGAAAACCCGGAGCUCAACUCCGGGCCUGCAGUCGAUACGGGCAAACUGGAGUGUUGCAGGGGAGACUGGAAUUCCUGGUGUAGCGGUGAAAAUGCGUAGAGAUGCGGAGGAACACCGAUGGCGAAGGCAGCCCCCUGGGCUAGCACUGACGCUCAGGCACGAAAGCGUGGGGAGCAAACAGG